AAAUCAUCAUUUGGAGGACUACCUAUAAAAUAAUUACUAAUGAAAUUUUCAACUUACAAAUAUUUUUAGUGCACAAGAGCCGAACAAUCAUUUAUGGAAUCGGACAACUAUAACAAAAUCUACAUUUCUUUCGUCCUGGUUCUAACCGGCAAGCUGACCCAAACUUCAAAGAAGGUGGAUUGAUUCCCGUAUCCAUGUAGCCGUUCUUGCUCGUGGCACUAAUCUGCUCCGCCAGCCCCAACCCAGUCUCUCAUUGUCAAAUACAUUUCUUUCUCCAGCAUCUCUCCGAUCUCUUCACUGCAGCUGGUGUUAUGUCUUCUCUCUCUCGCUGCCUUUGAAAAAUAAAUAUUGGUAACUGCAUGAGAAAAGACUGGCCAAAUGAAAUAGUAAGGCGUGUUUAAAGUUGACUCUGCGGACAGACCCUAAGGUGCUGUAUAAUUAUUCUAUCGUUAAACCUGAAGGUAGACAAGACCUGAUCUUUUAUAGGGGUCAAAAACUUAUUCUCAGCAAUAGAGCACUAGCAAAAUUCAUUUCUGGUUACAAGAAAGAUGCGAGGAUUAGUGAACUUUCAAAGCUUUUACUUAGCGUUCAAGAGGAACUGUAUUCAAUAGCAGGAUCUAGUUUGUGUUCUGAUGCAAUUGUUGCUUGCAUUCACUUUGGAUGGCUUGAAUCUUCUCAUGACAUUUUGGAUAAUGUAAAGGCUACUGGAUCUCCAAUGGACUGGGAUACAUAUGUGUUACUCUUGUCAGCAUAUUGUAGGCACAAAAUGGAAAGAGUAGCAAAUGCACUGCUAAAAUAAAUGACAAGGGUUUAUUUGGAUAAUGAAUUGGCUGAUGAUACUAUGGACAAACGCUUUUACUGUGUGUAAACAUCAUAUUCACUUGGUAAAUCGAAUUUGGUCGUCACAUUGGUUCAAAUAUUGAAAGACGAAGAUCAGAUUUUUCCUUUGGUAUAUGAGUUUAAUUCUUCCAUCCACUUCUUUUGCAUGGCAAGAAUGAUGGAAGAUGCACUAAAGGUGUAUAGAAGAAUGGUUGAAAAGAACAUUCAGCCCACUAUUCAUACUUUUGCUUAUCUGCUACAUGGAUAUUCAUCUCUUGGUAUGUAUCGGCAAAUCACAAUCUUUUGGGGAGAGAUUAAGGGAUUUAUGAAAGGUUGUGGUUUUCCAGCAAAUAGAGAUCUAUAUGAGUUACUACUAAUAAACUUUCUUCACGGUGGAUACUUUGAGCGAGUAAUGGAAGUCAGUGGCCAUAUGAGAGACCAAAACAUGUAUUCUGAUAAGUUGAUGUACAAAGUUCAAUUCUUAAGCCUUCACAAAGAUCUUUAUGAGAGUUUAAGAUGCAAGAACAGAAGCACAACUCAAAAGGCUUGAGCAUGUUCAUUAGUUCAGGAAAUGGGUGGGUAUAGUUUGAGUUUUCAAAUAACUAUCCAUCUGUCAUGGUGUACUUUUUGUAGUAUUAUUCAUUAAUCCUAUCAACAUCAAAUGGAUCCAACAUUUGAUCUUUGCUCAUUGAUCA